ACCUUCUAAGAGAAAAGAUCUUUGUAUUUGUUAUUGAAUUUAGCGAGAUUGCUAUCUGCAUUUGUUGAUCCACUUGUUAAACUUCCAGUCCAUGCAGGAUGAGUGUGAGGAUCUCUAUCGAGUUUUAUCUUAUCACCUUCUUUUCCAUAAGUAGAACAAGUUUCGAACUCUUCACCAUUUGUCAUAAUUAUAAUAACUCUGUGAUAAUCAAUACUUUCCAUUGUUGCUCAUUAAUCUUUGACUAGUUAGUAUAUUAAUUACUUUACUUCAUUAAGUCAAUUUUUUUAUUAUGCCU